GUGAGGAAUAUUGGUCAAUGGGCGGGAGCCUGAACCAGCCAAGUCGCGUGAAGGAAGAAGGAUCUAUGGUUCGUAAACUUCUUUUGCAGGGGAAUAAAGUGCAGGACGUGUCCUGUUUUGUAUGUACCCUGAGAAUAAGGAUCGGCUAACUCCGUGCCAGCAGCCGCGGUAAUACGGAGGAUCCGAGCGUUAUCCGGAGUUAUUGGGUUUAAAGGGUGCGUAGGUGGUUUGAUAAGUCAGCGGUGAAAGUUUGCAGCUUAACUGUAAAAAUGCCGUUGAAACUGUCGGACUUGAGUGUAAAUGAGGUAGGCGGAAUGCGUGGUGUAGCGGUGAAAUGCAUAGAUAUCACGCAGAACUCCGAUUGCGAAGGCAGCUUACUAAACUACAACUGACACUGAAGCACGAAAGCGUGGGGAUCAAACAGGAUUAGAAACCCGGGUAGUCC
rnacentral:rRNA from 1 species